GUCUAGUCUGCCCACUGAAUUUAAUUUUUAAUGGCCGCAGUAUUUUGACUGUGCAAAGGUAGCAUAAUCAUUAGUUUUUUAAUUAAAAGCUUGUAUGAAAGGCUGGACGAGGUAGAAUCUGUCUCUAUUUAAAUUAUAGUAGAAUUUAAUUUUUAAGUUAAAAAGCUUAAAUAUUAUUAAAAGACGAGAAGACCCUAUAGAUCUUUAUAAUUUAUUAAAUGAAAUUAAUUUAGAAUUAUUUAUUUUUUAUUUUAAUAAAUUAUUUUAUUGGGGUAAUAGAAAGAUUAAGUUAAUUCUUUUUUGUAAUAAACAUUGAUUUAUGAAUAUUAAAUGAUCCAGUUUUAUUGAUUAUAAGAUUAAGUUACCUUAGGGAUAACAGCGUAAUUUUUUUAGAGAGUUCAUAUCGAUAAAAAAGUUUGCGACCUCGAUGUUGGAUUAAAGAUUAUUUUAGGUGUAGAAGCUUAAUAAUUUUGGUCUGUUCGACCAUUGAAUCUUUACAUGAUCUGAGUUCAGACCGGUGUAAGCCAGGUCGGUUUCUAUCUUUAAUAAAAUAAAAUAUUUUAGUACGAAAGGACCAAAUAUUUAAUAUAUUUAUAUUUAAUUUAUUGAAUAUUAUUAAAGUUAUAAUUAUUUUGGCAGAUUAGUGCAAUGAAUUUAGAAUUCAUUUAUGUAAUUUAUUUACAAAUAAUACUUGUUUUAUAUAGAUAUUGUUUUUUCUUUAGUAUGUAUAUUAUUAUUAAUUGUUUGUGUUUUAGUGGGGGUUGCUUUUUUAACUUUAUUGGAACGAAAGGUUUUAGGUUAUAUUCAAAUUCGUAAGGUCCUAAU
rnacentral:rRNA from 1 species